rnacentral:rRNA from 1 species
GACGAACGCUGGCGGCGUGCUUAACACAUGCAAGUCGAACGGAAAGGCCCUGCUUUUGUGGGGUGCACGAGUGGCGAACGGGUGAGUAACACGUGAGUAACCUGUCCUUGACUUUGGGAUAAAUUUAGGAAACUGGGGCUAAUAUCGGAUAGGAGCUCCUGCUGCAUGGUGGGGGUUGGAAAGAUUCGGCGGUUGGGUAUGGACUGGCGGCAUAUCCGCUUGUUGGUGGGGUAGUGGAUUACAAAGGCUUUGACUGGUAGCCGACCUGGGAGGGUAACCGGCCACAUUGGUACUACGAGACGGCCCAGACGCCUACGGUAGGCAGCAGUGGGGAGUAUUGCGCAAUGGGCGGAAGCCUGUUGCAGCAGCGCCGCGUGCGGGAUGACGGCUUUCGGGUUGUGAACCGAUUUCUCCGGUGACGAAGCGUGAUUGACGGUAAUGAGUAAAGAAGCACCGGCUAACUACGUG